rnacentral:tRNA from 1 species
CUGGGUUGGCCGAGUGGUUAAGGCGUUGGACUUAAGUUCCAAUGGACAAGUGUCCCGCGUGGGGUUGAAUUCCCCCACACCCAG